GGUUCCGUCGUCUAGUGGUUAGGACGUCUGGUUCUCAUCCAGAAAAUCGCGGGUUCGACUCCCGCCGGAAUCACCA
rnacentral:tRNA from 1 species